UGUUUUGGAGGAAAAUGGAAGUCAAUGGUGAAGCAAGAGCUAAAGAUGAAUGAGUGAGAGGAAGACGAGUACGAGGAAGGAGAGUUGUCUCAGAUGAGAUCAGGGCCACAUUGGUUGACAACAAUGGAUUGAGUAUGAGGGAGGCGAGGCAGAGAGUUCAGCCCAACCUGAGCUACUACACGGUUGCAUCUAUCCUCCGUACAUUCAGAAAUGAGAACUGCGCAACCGAAUCUGGAUGAAACGGGUCUACAUGGUGCCAUUUGAGCGCAACUCAGAGAGUGUUAAAGAACAGCGCUAUGAAUAUGUGCAAAGUCUUGGAUCUGGAUGUUGCUGCAAUUCAGCACGUUUAUAUUUUCGUUGAUGAGGCUGGCUUCGACCUAGCCAAAAGAAGGGGACAAGGACUGAACUUUAUUGGCCACCAUGCCAUUGUGAAUGUCCCUGGACAGCGUUGAGGGAAUAUCACCAUGUGCGCAGCCGUUAGCCAGCAAGGCGUCCUCCAUCACCGUGCCAACCUUGGUCCCUUCUACACUGCCCUUCCCAUCGCAUUCCUGGACACACUACAUGGCAUCCUCCUUCCACCCGAGCAGAGGGGUGGACCAGAGCAGCCCAGGUAUGUUGUCAACGUGACUUUCACGGGCUGCUCUGGUCCGCAACUGGUUCAUCGACCACACACAAUUUAUUGUUCUAUACCUCCCACCAUAUUCCCCAUUCCUAAACCCAAUUGAAGAGGGGGUUUUUUUUCGUUAUGGUGAUGGAAGGUCUGACCGCCAUCCCCUCGCACGCAUGCCCCUUCCCCAGGCAAUGAAGGUAUGUGGUGAAAUUGAUGUGGGGGCUUUCUUCGGCUGGAUCCGUCACGACCAGAAGAUUCUUUCCCUGCUGUUUAGCCAGGUAGAACAUCGCUUGUGAUGUAGAUGAGGUGCUGUGGCCAGACCAAAAUAGGAGGCAGGAUGCAGCCUAAUGUUUUUUUUCUUACAUUUUGUGUGUUUUGUAUCUUUGUGUUUAGAGUUUUGAAAGAAUGAGCCACUUUCAUUUUUUUUUUUUGUACAGAAAACCCUUUAUCUUACUGAAUGUUUUUCCUUGUUUUCUCCUGUUGGGUAUGGAAAGUGUUACAUACACAACACGUGUUCAAAAAUACUGCAUUUUGGAAAUAAAUGACAAUGUUUUUGUUACUGUA